ACGGGAGGCAGCAGUGGGGAAUAUUGGGCAAUGGGGGAAACCCUGACCCAGCAACGCCGCGUGGAGGAAGAAGGUCUUCGGAUCGUAAACUCCUGUCCUCAAAGACGAGAAGAAGACGGUAUUUGAGGAGGAAGCCCCGGCUAACUACGUGCCAGCAGCCGCGGUAAUACGUAGGGGGCAAGCGUUGUCCGGAAUGAUUGGGCGUAAAGGGCGUGUAGGCGGCUUUAUAAGUCUGGAGUGGAAGUCCUGCUUUCAAGGUGGGAAUUGCUUUGGAGACUGUAGAGCUUGAGUGCGGAAGAGGUAAGUGGAAUUCCCAGUGUAGCGGUGAAAUGCGUAGAGAUUGGGAAGAACACCAGUGGCGAAGGCGACUUACUGGGCCGUAACUGACGCUGAGGCGCGAAAGCGUGGGGAGCGAACAGGAUUAGAUACCCUGGUA
rnacentral:rRNA from 1 species